CCUACGGGAGGCAGCAGUGGGGAAUAUUGGGCAAUGGGCGCAAGCCUGACCCAGCAACGCCGCGUGAAGGAAGAAGGCUUUCGGGUUGUAAACUUCUUUUCUCAGGGACGAAGCAAGUGACGGUACCUGAGGAAUAAGCCACGGCUAACUACGUGCCAGCAGCCGCGGUAAUACGUAGGUGGCAAGCGUUAUCCGGAUUUACUGGGUGUAAAGGGCGUGUAGGCGGGACUGCAAGUCAGAUGUGAAAACCACGGGCUCAACCUGUGGCCUGCAUUUGAAACUGUAGUUCUUGAGUGCUGGAGAGGCAAUCGGAAUUCCGUGUGUAGCGGUGAAAUGCGUAGAUAUACGGAGGAACACCAGUGGCGAAGGCGGAUUGCUGGACAGUAACUGACGCUGAGGCGCGAAAGCGUGGGGAGCAAACAGGAUUAGAUACCCUUGUAGUC
rnacentral:rRNA from 1 species